CAUGGCACCAGAGGCCGGGAUCCAACUUCCGGCAUUGCUGAGGCCCCCAGAGUGCCUGUCCCCCUCCCCUAAGCAUCCUCCAGUUCACAACACAGAAAGGAGACACAGCUGGGCCCCACACAGGGGCUGGCCUAGGAGAGCUGCGCCCAGGAAAGACAAAUGAUAAAACCAGCCCGUCUCAGACAUCGAGAAACAAGCACAGUGCCUGACAGGUACUUGGUGGACCAGCCCUGUGAGCAGGGCACGGCUCUCAGAGGCCUUUCCGGGAACCACCUGCGUAGACACCUGCAGGGACUGUUUCAAGUGGCAUUCUCCAGCCCCACCCAAACUCUGCAGCCAGCACCCAGGAAUCUGCAUUUUAGCAAGCAUCCUCAGAUGCCUACACUCACUAAAAUUUGAGAACUACAGUCUGGAUUUUCCAUUUUAAUAGGAAAUUAAGCUCUUCACUUGCGGCCAUUAAGAUCGGGGCAGGGGUGCCCUCCCGCCUUAGCAUUUUUCUCCCCAGCCAGGCCACUCCUCAC
ensembl:lncRNA